rnacentral:lncRNA from 1 species
UUUUUUUUUAGAUUUCUUAUAAUUCUAAAGUUUUUAAAAUUUACUUUGACAGAUAUUAACCUACUGUGGAGCCAUUGCAGCAAUAUGGGAUUGAUAAAUGUCCCUAAGGUACCCAGCACAAUUUGUUAAUGCCUAUUGUCAAGUAAAAGAUGUGUAAGUGUUAGCUCAGUUGAAUUCAGCUUCAAAGGCAGAAGACAAGAAUUGAUAUCAAAAAGUGAAUAAGUCAAGAUCCUUGUAUUUCUAUUUUCUGUCAUUUUUAUGGUAACCAAUCUAUUUCCUUAAUGCCCAAAAUUUCUCUGCUUUCAAGACUCUUUUCUUUGUCCUUAGUUUUCAGUUUGUGUAUCUUGGCAUGUGUGUCUUUGGGUUUAUCCUGUUUGGGGUUCACUCCGUUUCUUGAAUCUUUAGGUUUUGAUCUUUUCCCAAAUUUAGGAAAUUUUCUUUGUUUUUUCAAAUACUUUCCUCAGCCUCUUUUCCCCUUUCCUUCUAGGACUAAAGUGAUACAAUGGUAGAACUUAAUCAACCCAUGCGUCCCUAAGACUAUUUUUAUUUUUUCAGCCUUUUUGAUUUGUUUAAAUUGGGUAAUUUCUAGUCUUCUAUCCUCAAAUUCACUGAUUCUGCUGUUAUGUUUUUAGUUCAGAAUUUAUUGUUUGAUUUUUCUUAGUAUCUUCAAUUUCUUUGCUGAGACUUUGUAUUAUUUGAUUUGUAUUAAGCAUUUUUUCUUAAAUAACAUAAAAAAGCUUAGCAUUAAGUGCUCAGAUCAUUUAAGGAGUUGCAGCAAUUUGGUUUUGCCUAUCCAGGAAGAGCAGAUAUGGUCCAAAUACACUUCCCUGUCACAAAAAUAUAAGCAACAUAAAACUUAAUUGUUUCCUAUGGUAGUAAUGGAAAAGAAGUUCCUAUUUGGAUUACCUAAUUCUAGACAUUUUUUUCACAUGUAAAUGAAAACAGCAACAAAUCAAUACAUGUUUGCAAAAUAGCAUAUUUAAUUUUUUUUUCUAAAUUUUAGCAGUUUUUUUUGUGAUUAAAUAAUAUACAUCUAACAUCUAAAUGUAAAAAGUCAAAAAGACCAGCCAAGCAUACUGGUACAUGUC